ACCAAGGCGACGAUCGGUAGCCGGACUGAGAGGUUGAACGGCCACAUUGGGACUGAGACACGGCCCAGACUCCUACGGGAGGCAGCAGUGGGGAAUAUUGCACAAUGGGGGAAACCCUGGUGCAGCGACGCCGCGUGGAGGAAGAAGGUCUUCGGAUUGUAAACUCCUGUUGUUGAGGAAGAUAAUGACGGUACUCAACAAGGAAGUGACGGCUAACUACGUGCCAGCAGCCGCGGUAAAACGUAGGUCACAAGCGUUGUCCGGAAUUACUGGGUGUAAAGGGAGCGCAGGCGGGAAGACAAGUUGGAAGUGAAAUCCAUGGGCUCAACCCAUGAACUGCUUUCAAAACUGUUUUUCUUGAGUAGUGCAGAGGUAGGCGGAAUUCCCGGUGUAGCGGUGGAAUGCGUAGAUAUCGGGAGGAACACCAGUGGCGAAGGCGGCCUACUGGGCACCAACUGACGCUGAGGCUCGAGAGUGUGGGUAGCAAACAGGAUUAGAUACCCUGGUAGUCCACACUGUAAACGAUGAUUACUAGGUGUUGGAGGAUUGACCCCUUCAGUGCCGCAGUUAACACAAUAAGUAAUCCACCUGGGGAGUACGACCGCAAGGUUGAAACUCAAAGGAAUUGACGGGGGCCCGCACAAGCAGAGGAGUAUGUGGUUUAAUUCGACGCAACGCGAAGAACCUUACCAAGUCUUGACAUCCUGCGACGCACAUAGAAAUAUGUGUUUCCUUCGGGACGCAGAGACAGGUGGUGCAUGGUUGUCGUCAGCUCGUGUCGUGAGAUGUUGGGCUAAGUCCCGCAACGAGCGCAACCCUUAUGGUCAGUUACUACGCAAGAGGACUCUGGCCAGACUGCCGUUGACAAAACGGAGGAAGGUGGGGAUGACGUCAAAUCAUCAUGCCCUUUAUGACUUGGGCUACACACGUACUACAAUGGCGUUAAACAAAGAGAAGCAAGACCGCGAGGUGGAGCAAAACUCAGAAACAACGUCCCAGUUCGGACUGCAGGCUGCAACUCGCCUGCACGAAGUCGGAAUUGCUAGUAAUCGCAGAUCAGCAUGCUGCGGUGAAUACGUUCCCGGGCCUUGUACACACCGCCCGUCACACCAUGAGAGCCGGGGGGACCCGAAGUCGGUAGUCUAACCGCAAGGAGGACGCCGCCGAAGGUAAAACUGGUGAUUGGGGUGAAGUCGUAACAAGGUAGCCGUAGGAGAACCUGCGGCUG
rnacentral:rRNA from 1 species